UCUCUUUUUGAAAUUUUGAACAAAACAGCUAAUAAAGAACUAAAAUAAACACUGCGCGUUAGUAUUUGAAUAGCUGUUUAAUCAACAGCCCAGUAAAAAGCCCAGAAAAAGAGCUGAUCAACUGUCAAUGCAUUUCUAUCGGUUUUGACCAAACUUCAUUGAACACUUCUAUGACAUACACACUAUAUAUAUUUCACUAACACUAAUUGAAAUUUUAACCAAGGUAGGUUCGGUGACUGAAACCAUUUAUCCACCUGUUUUCUUGUCUUGAUACUUCAUUGUGUAUUUUAAAAUAGCAUUAUAUAAUCACUGUUAUUAGAAAAUCGUGUUUGAAGUUAGGGUGAAAAUAUUAUUUUGCUUUCUCAAUAUCUCUAAAACAGAAUAUCUUUCUAGUAAAUUUUUACAAUCUAAAUGCAGGGUUUUCGAACUCCAUUAAGCUAACAACUCGAUUUGUUUUCAUUUGACUUAUUUGACCUCUUCAGAAAACCGCAUUUUUCGUUGCAUGAUUCUAUUUUUAAAUUGAACUUAUUUACAGGGUACAAUUCUUGAACAUUAGAUAGAAGCAAAGCAGUUGACUUUAAAUAGACAUUAUAAAACCGUUUGGGUUAUAACAUUUGAGUUUGUGUUACGUUAAUAAUCACAAAAAUAGCUGAACUCAAUAUUUGAAUAAGUAUAAAUUUAUCUCGACACAUUUUUAAAAUUCUGCUGUUUCGUCAUUUUGAAUUCUUACUAUAGAUAUUGAAAUUGGUGUUAAAAUUAUUUAAACCAGCUACAUUUACGUUUCGCGUGUCUAAGCAAAACAAAAAUAAAAUUGACCUUGAAUGUGCAUUGUUGUUUUAUACAAAAUUUCAAAGUUUUGAUUCCAGAUUUUAUUCAAUUUUUAUUUGCUGAGUUUACUCGACUUUUCUAUAAAAAUCCAUCGUAAAACGACUUCAUCGAAGGUACCAAAAUUACAUUUAAUUCUUUCAAAACUGGAACCAACAAAGAAAUUUCAGUUUAUUUUCAACUAUUUUAAGUUUUUUUCAGGUUUACUAUCUGGAAAUAAUAUACGUAUGUAUUUAUACGUAGUGAUAUUUUUUUGUACUGAUCGAGGUUGGUAUCGAGAGGACAUUACCUGGAAUACAUUUUCUGUAGUAGUAUGUAGCAUUCCGUUGGCGAUUAUGCUUCCGCAAGCUAAAGCUUGUAUGGAAACACUCGGACCUCACUUUCAUCAGUGGUUCAGCGCUGGAAACGACCAAAUCCGAAGUUAUCAGCUACUAGUCAUUCAUAACAAAUUGAAACUCGAGAAAAUACGCGUUGAGUUCAAAACAACCGGAGCAAUUUGGCAGAAAAUCAACUUUCCGGUCACCUAGGGAGCCAUGGUUGCCUUCAUCGCGUAGCCACUGAAGACGGAAGCUGCUUCCAAUAAGGACAAGAAGAAAAAAACAUCUAGACCAUCUGCGGGCCAACGAAAACUGCCCAAGGAACUUCAUUUAAAUCAGUAUGAUGAAAUUUGAAUAUCUAUCUCAAGUGAGGCAAAUCUGGACCGAACCAGACUUUCACCGCAACAUUGAAUUAUACUGUUCAACUGUUUUUGAAGAGCCGCCCAUCACACUCCAUGACGCCGCCCGCUUUUUAGGUUGGUUAUUCAGAUGUUCGUGGUUCCUGAUUCAACUCUUGAUCAAUGGAUAUACUUCAUUUGAUGCUACGAGGGACUCGAAUAUUUAUCGAAUGGACUGCUAUAAAACAAAUUUCAUAUGACGGUAUUGUGAAAUUCAGCAAGUGAAAUGCUAGAAAACGAAAGGAUUAAAAGAAGAAAACAAUCUUAUGCAGUCCCGUUGGAUUGGUUCUUUGUAACUGUUUUCAACGAGAUAAGAGCCGUGGAACCCAGGUAUGAUCUUAGAGUAAGUAGAGGAUUUUUAUUCUUCGUUCUGACCAGUUGAAUUCUUCGCUUUUUGUAACUCACUCAUUUUAAUCAAACUCCAUGUGUUUGAGAUUCUCAUGCGUUUCAAACCUAAAGUAAAAAAGCAAUUUAAUUCAAAAUGUUUAUUGUUUUUCUUUUUUUGAGAAAUAUUAAGAAAUGAAGGCUCACUUAAUUAAAAAAAAAACCUGAAGCAAUGAACUAUUUUUUUUAAAUGUGUAAAUAUUCGUAAGAACAAAUUACUGUUAAUAUUAAGUCGGAAUGUUUAAAAAAAUCUUAACUGUACAAAUACUAUACAUCAUUAAAUUUACUUCACACUUUGAACCUUCCUAUACCUGAACGAACUGUACUAUUAACGAGUUGCUGAUGGAAGAACCAAUAAAUCAAUAUAAAUACCUAAUAAGUAUCAGGAAUAUUUCACAGAUAUUGAUGAGGACUGCUUCAUUUUUGACAAUAUGUGUGUUUGCUAAAUUAAUGUGGCUCAUCGAAGAUUCCAAAGAUAUCUUCGGUUUAAAAAAAUUGAAUAGUUUUUUCUAAUUUAGAAAACAUCCGGAAAUAGGCUCGUGACGGUUUGUUUUGAAUCGAUUUAGUUUAGCAUUUAUUUUGCAAAGUGAGUGCAUUUUAUGGUAAAUAAAUGUUUUAAAAUCAAGAAAUAUCAGUGCUUUUCUUUAUAACAUAAAAUCUAAUGCCACAAACAUUUAUCAAAACUAUUUGUACCAUGUAAAUCUACUGUAAACAAUUAUAUUGGCCCCGAACAGAUAUUUACUUGAAAUAUCAUGGGUAGGAAAUCAUCGAGUUUAAUGUGUGAUAACACUGCUUAUGCCAAGGAAAUUACGUGAAAGUAACAGUUUAUAUUUUAGUGAAAUAAAUUUUUAUUAAUAUAAAUUCAUGUGAAAUUUCACAGUUUGAAAAAAAAAUAG